rnacentral:rRNA from 1 species
UGGGCAACCUGCCCCUCUCUCUGGGGUAACCCCGGGAAACCGGAGCUAAUACCGGAUACGACCUCCACGGGCAUCUGCGGAGGUGGAAAGUUUUUGCGGCUGAGGAUGGGCCCGCGGCCUAUCAGCUUGUUGGUGGGGUCAUGGCUCACCAAGGCGACGACGGGUAGCUGGU